GACGAACGCUGGCGGCGUGCUUAACACAUGCAAGUCGAACGGAAAGGCCCUGCUUUCGUGGGGUGCUCGAGUGGCGAACGGGUGAGUAACACGUGAGUAACCUGCCCUUGACUUUGGGAUAACUUCAGGAAACUGGGGCUAAUACCGGAUAGGAGCCCCCGCUGCAUGGUGGGGGUUGGAAAGUUUCGGCGGUCGGGGAUGGACUGGCGGCUUAUCAGCUUGUUGGUGGGGUAGUGGCUUACCAAGGCUUUGACGGGUAGCCGGCAUGGGAGGGUGGCCGGGCACAAUGGGACUGAGGGACGGCCCAGACGGGUACGGGGGGCAGCGGGGGGGAGUAUUGCACAGUGGGCGGGAGCGUGAUGCGGCGACGCCGCGUGCGGGAUGACGGCCUUCGGGUUGUGAACCGCUUUCGCCUGUGACGAAGCGUGAGUGACGGUAAUGGGUGAAGAAGCACCGGCUAACUACGUG
rnacentral:rRNA from 1 species